rnacentral:tRNA from 1 species
GCCUGGGUGGCCCAGUCGGUAAGCGUCUGACUUCAGCUCAGGUCACGAUCUCACGGUUUGUGAGUUCAAGUCCCGCAUCAGGCU